rnacentral:piRNA from 1 species
CAGGCUUUGGGAGGCAGAGGCAGGUU